rnacentral:lncRNA from 1 species
GUUCUGGGCUUCUGGCUGCAUUCUAGGAAGAUCAUUCCUUAAAAGAAAUAGCCAUAUGGCUUAUAAGGGACUAUAUCUUAAGACUAUGUGUCUUCUGCAGUUCUUUGCAUAGAGUCAACGUUGAAGGACAAGCAACUUCAAAUUUCCAAGCAACAAAAUUAUGUUCGGGUGGUUUUCUGAAAGCGAGAUCUUAAGAACCACCUGUAUCAGAAUCCCAUGAAGAGCUUGUUUAGUGUGCAAAUUUACAGAUUGUCCCCCCUCAGAAAUGCUCAUUUAGGAGUUCCUGUCCUUUGCGGGGACAUGGAUGAAGCUGGAAACCAUCAUUCUCAGCAAACUAACACAGGAACAGAAAACCAAACACUGCAUGUUCUCACUCAAAAGUGGGAGUUGAACAAUGAGAACACAUGGACACAG